rnacentral:rRNA from 1 species
UUGGAGGGCAAGUCUGGUGCCAGCAGCCGCGGUAAUUCCAGCUCCAAUAGCGUAUAUUAAAGUUGUUGCAGUUAAAAAGCUCGUAGUUGAAUUUCGGGGUCAGUAGGUCGGUCGUGCCACUGGUAUGAACUGGUUUUACUGAUUCCUCCCUCUUGAAGAACUGUAAUGCCAUUAAUUUGGUGUUGCAGGGAAUCAGGACUGUUACUUUGGAAAAAUUAGAGUGUUUAAAGCAGGCUUUAGCUUGAAUACAUUAGCAUGGAAUAAUGAAAUAGGACGUUUGAUCCUAUUUUGUUGGUUUCUAGGAUUGACGUAAUGAUUAAUAGGGAUAGUUGGGGGCAUUAGUAUUCAAUUGUCAGAGGUGAAAUUCUUGGAUUUAUUGAAGACUAACUAUUGCGAAAGCAUUUGCCAAGGAUGUUUUCAUUAAUCAAGAACGAAAGUUAGGGGAUCGAAGACGAUCAGAUACCGUCGUAGUCUUAACCAUAAACUAUGCCGACUAGGAAUCGGGCGUCGUUAUUUUAAUGACUCGCUCGGCGCCUUACGGGAAAC